rnacentral:lncRNA from 1 species
AUGCGAGCGGUAAGAGUGCGGCGGGACUUGGAAAUCGAAUCUGUGCUCUGUGAGAGAUCCUAGGAAAGGAAACUGGGAGCCCGGGAGAACUAAAAUUCCCAAUUAAAAGUGAAUUUAAAUCUGAGCUGUUCUUAGACCCAGAAUUUCUUGCCUGAAGGAGGAAUCAGGUCCCCACAAGGAAAGACCCUGCAACUGUAUAAAAAAAGAAUCUAAAAAGAUCAUGACUCCUUCAGUCCUUUCCCAAAGAGACCUAUGGAAAUUUCCUCAGGAAGAGGGACCAAGCAAAACCCCAGAAGAGUUGAUCUCAAAGCUUAUUUUAUGAAGAAAAUUGACCUGAGUGACACAAAGGGUUGGACUGUAGUAGAUGUCACGUUUUGCUGCCUAGAUCUCCAUCCAGGGAUGAACUCUUAUUUCCUCAGCUUCUUUGUCUCCUCAGCUUCUGGGAGGGUUGGCAGCUGAUAUUCUCACCUGAGUCCCUUUCUAGGACUUGCCCUUGCCUGAAGAGAGCUGUGCUGCCCAACAUGAUGCCUCCUCCAAGGUACAAUCCACACCCAGUGACUAAUAAACAGGGGUUACAAAGGCAUGCCUGCUUGCCCCAGUUUGGGACAACUUUACCAGGCCAACCCAGCCUCAAGGCUCUCCACAGGAACAGGGACCCUGAAAGCUGUGUCUAUGAAGUUAUUACAAGAUAUUGGCUACUGUGGUGCAUGGAGCUUCUAGGCCAGGGUGAUUCUCACACCUGCCUGAUGUGGAUCUUGUUGCUUCACACCUGAAACAUCAUUUGAGAAGCCCGGGAAGUGG